GAAAAUGGAGAUAUCAGUGCAGGGAGUCAUAUAAGGGAUGAUAGGACCGCCGAUAGGAACAGAAAAAUACAGACAAAAUAAAGGGAAUUAAAGAUAAGAAAUGGCAACGGGCGGACACUCAGGAUAUAGGGAACAGAUAUGGAGGAAAAGAGUACCCACGUGACACCCUUGGAAAUAACUCAUGUAAAAAGGAUCCAAAACAUGUGAUGCAAGCUAAUUCUAUCUUAUUCCUGGCAACACAACAAAACUUAAGCAGAUUUAUUAUUUCUUACUUACCAAGAUUAAUUUGUUAAUAGUUGCCAUUCCAAAGCUUUAAGAAUAUUUUACCUAUUUCUUUAGUUUAGUAAAAGGCCAUGUGUGUGACAGAGUUGAAAAUAUAUGGAUUUUAUACGCGUUUGAAAUACACGUUUUAGAUGAAUGUAAGUAUAGUUUUAUCGAGUAUUUUCCCAUUUAAAAGACCCACGAACACUUAACAGUUAGCUGGGUCCUCCCGGGCUUUCAGGAAGGGCCCCCGAUGGACUGUGACAUGGGUAUACUGCCCCGCCUUCACCCGCGGCUACGAGGAACGCUUUAAAUUUUACAUAAGACAAACGAUAUCAACUGUUGACCUUACCAUGUAGCAAAUAGUUUAGUAGUAGUAGUAGUAGUAGUAGCAGCAGUGGGUACCGGAAAGAAUUACUCCUCCAUGGACAUUUCACCCCUUGACAAGAGAUUCCCUUCUGGGCAUUUCCCCAUCCGAACAUUUUCCACUCAAUUAUCUAUUUAAUAAGAGUGAAACAAUAAAUAAAUGAAUAAAAAAACAGACGAUUAAAGAUAAGGAGCACAUGAUAAAAGAAAAAUCCGGGAAGUAAGGAAAGAGGGAAACGGAGUAAGUUUUUGGACGCCCUGUGCGCGUUCCCGAGGCCCCUCGACUUACCAUCCCAAAGACGAUAUACGCGGCGAGCAUUGCGAUAUCUUAUAUUAAUUUCAUAAUCCAGUCUGGUAGUUUUAAGAAGCGAGUUCUUGCAUCCGCCGUCCUCCUCGACUCGGAGGGGAUCGAGAGUAAGGAGCGCCAGCGAGCCCAAGGUCUCCCUGGCGAGAAGGGCGGUACUGGAGGGCUCCCAGAGGGGCGCCUUGGUGUGCCCCGGGGCGUCCGCGGAGGUGCCGGAGAUCGGGUAGGUGGGGCUCGUUAGCCGUGGUAGGCAGUCCACCUAGGAGAGCAAACUCCGAACAACAAACCCGGGCAGAUGGGGCUCGUUAGCCGUGGUAGGCAGUCCAUCUAGGAGAGCAAACUCCGAACAUCAAACCCGGCAGGUGGAGGUCGUUAGCGCGAGCAGUUCACCUAGGAGAGCAAACUCCGAUGAAAAAUCCGGGCAGGUGGAGCUCGUUAGCGUGAGCAGUUCACCUAGGAGAGCAAACUCCGAUGAAAAAUCCGGGCAGGUGGAGCUCGUUAGCGUGAGCAGUUCACCUAGGAGAAGGACAACUCCGAACAACAAACCCGGGCAGAUGAAGGUCGUUAGCCAUGGUAGGCAAUUCAUCUAGGAGAAGGACAACUCCGAACAACAAACCCGGGCAGAUGAAGGUCGUUAGCCAUGGUAGGCAAUUCAUCUAGGAGAGGGACAACUCCGAACAACAAACCCGGGCAGAUGAAGGUCGUUAGCCAUGGUAGGCAGUUCAUCUAGGAGAGGGACAACUCCGAACAACAAACCCGGGCAGAUGAAGGUCGUUAGCUAUGGUAGGCAAUUCAUCUAGGAGAGGGACAACUCCGAACAACAAACACGGACAGAUGGAGGUCGUCAGCCGUGGUAGGCAAUUCAUCUAGGAGAGGGACAACUCCGAACAACAAACACGGGCAGAUGAAGGUCGUUAGCCAUAGUAGGCAAUUCAUCUAGGAGAGGGACAACUCCGAACAACAAACACGGGCAGAUGGAGGUCGUUAGCCGUGGUAGGUAAUUCAUCUAGGAGAGGGACAACUCCGAACAACAAACACGGGCAGAUGGAGGUCGUCAGCCGUGGUAGGCAAUUCAUCUAGGAGAGGGACAACUCCGAACAACAAACACGGACAGAUGGAGGUCGUCAGCCGUGGUAGGCAAUUCAUCUAGGAGAGGGACAACUCCGAACAACAAACACGGACAGAUGGAGGUCGUUAGCCAUGGUAGGCAAUUCAUCUAGGAGAGGGACAACUCCGAACAACAAACCCGGCAGGUGGAGGUCGUUAGCCGCGAGGCAGUUCACCUAGGAGAGCAAACUCCGAUUACAAACCCGGCAGGUGGAGGUCGUUAGCGUGAGCAGUUCACCUAGGAGAGCAAACUCCGAUUAAAAACCCGGCAGGUGGAGGUCGUUAGCGAGAGCAGUCCACCUAGGAGAGCAAACUCCGAUUAAAAACCCGGCAGGUGGAGGUCGUUAGCGUGAGCAGUUCACCUAGGAGAGCAAACUCCGAUUACAAACCCGGCAGGUGGAGGUCGUUAGCGCCAGCAGUUCACCUAGGAGAGCAAACUCCGAUUAAAAACCCGGCAGGUGGAGGUCGUUAGCGUGAGCAGUUCACCUAGGAGAGCAAACUCCGAUUAAAAACCCGGCAGGUGGAGGUCGUUAGCGUGAGCAGUUCACCUAGGAGAAGGACAACUCUGAUCACAAACCCGGGGAGGUGGAGAUCGUUAGCCGCGAGGCAGUUCACCUAGGAGAGCAAACUCCGAUCACAAACCCGGGCAGGAGGGGGUCGUCAGCCGUGGUAGGCAGUCCUCCUAGGAGAAGGAAAACUCCGAAUUCAAACCACACACACACACACACACACACACACACCGGGCAGGUGGGGCUCGUUAUAGGCGUCGUAGACAAUCCACCAAGGGGAAUAAACAAAGAAGGGAUAAUAACAACGAACACAAGAAAAGAAUAUGAAAUUAGAACAGAACAAAACAGGAUGAUAUAAAAGAGAAC